CCGAAUGUGGCACUUUGCCAUGUCUGUGUUCCUGAUAGAAUUAUAUGGACAUAAUCUUCUUCUAUCAGCAGUGUUUGGCUUAGUGGUGGCUGGAUCUGUAUUAAUAUUUGGAGUCUUAAUUAGUGAUUGGAUCGACAGGAAGCCAAGAAAUAAAGAACGCCUCUGUCGCUGCCUGCUGCAUCGUCCUGAUGCUCGUGUUCUCCUACAAGAGGGAGAUGGGACACAUCUGGCACGGCUGGCUGACCGUGGCCUGCUACGCGGUGGUGACCGCCCUGGCGGCCUUGGCGAACCUGGCCGGCACCGCGCUGACCAUCACCGUUCAGAGGGACUGGAUCGUGAGCCUCACGGGCGGCGACAGAGCCCAGCUGGCUGUGAUGAAUGCUACAGUCCGGCGGCUGGACCAGAUCAUCAAUAUAUUUGCUCCCCUGUCUGUGGGCCAGGGCAAAUGGACUCUUGGGAAGCCACUGAUGGAUUCACCUACAAGCCCAGAACUUUGGAAAAGCCAAAGGACCACAAGUCUAGACAUGAAAGACAACAGGCCACAACCACAGGGUUUCCUCUUGGCCUUCGAAAGCUGCAGAGGCUGCUCCGCACGUGCCGCGAGGGGUGGGAAGCCUACCGCAGGCAGACCAUCUUCCUGGCUGGCUUGGGCUUGGCCUUUCUCUACAUGACAGUCCUGGGCUUUGACUGCAUCACCACUGGCUUCGCCUACACCCAAGGGAUCGGAGGCUCCCUGCUUAGCAUCCUCACUGCCCUUUCGGCUCUAUCUGGCCUAAUGGGCACAAUUCUCUUCACUUGGCUCCGGGGGCACUAUGGCUUGGUCACCACCGGCGUCAUAUCCAGCUGGCUCCACUUAGGUUGUCUAAUGCUCUGCGUGUUUUCUGUCUUUGCUCCUGGAAGUCCUUUUGAUCUGGCUUUUUUCUCACUUCCCUUAAGCAAAAAUUCAUCUUCAAACCAUGAGUUGCUAAAGGAGGACCAGGUGCAUGUUUAUCCCUUUGAAAGAAACCUGAACCAACCCAUCCUCCCAGACCGUUCCUCCAUCCACUGGACCAACAGCACGGUUCUGUUUGAAGGCCAGCAGCACCCUGAGCCCCCCGAGUCUUACAUCUCCAUCAUCUUGCUCUUCUCGGGAGUGAUCCUGGCACGAAUUGGCCUCUGGUCCUUUGACCUCACCGUGACCCAGCUUCUCCAGGAGAACAUUCCAGAAGUGGAGCGAGGGGCUGUGAACGGCGUGCAGUGCUCCCUGAACUACCUCAUGGACCUCAUCCACUUCGUUCUCGUCAUGCUGGCCCCGUGGCCGCAGCAGUUUGGCAUGCUGGUCUUGAUCUCCAUACCUUUUGUAACCACGGGGCACAUGCUGUAUUUUUUUUAUGCAAGAAAGUGUAAGAGUAAAAAUGCCCAUGCCAAGAAGACAGUGAAGAAGAGCACUUGGACGCCUUUAAGCUGAGAGGUAGGCAGCGCCUCUGGCUUCUCAGAGCUCUAGGAACGCAGGAACAUCUCACACUGCUUCCGGGUGUCUACCUGCUGCUCGUUGCUACCCAGGAGAGCAAUUAUGUCGCUGCCUUUUGCCAGCAACAUCCACUGCAUUUAGCGUGUCUUUGUGGCAGUGAUGCUUCCAGAGUUUGAAAGGGGUCUGACUCGUGGCGCACCCAUUCAUGAAAGUCAGGGAGAUUCCACCCCAGACAACAUGAAGGGGCUUGUUUUAAUUUUGCCAAUAUAGUAACUCAAUGUUUCAGGGUUUUUACUGUUUGUUGGGUUCUAACAUUAGAAUAUUCUGGUCAGUGUUAAAAUUAGAUCACGCUGGUGGGGCCUGAUGUUUGGAUUCCAUUCUUUGGGUGUGGAGUUUUUGUUCUUCCGCUAGUUUUUGAAUGUUCUUUGGAUGAGCUAAGUGUCUCUAAUGAGGACUGAAGCUAUUUGUUGGAGAAACAGAUCACGAUAACAACCUUUGUGUGGUGUACGGACUCUGGGCCAGGCCAGAAAUCCGGCAGUCUCGCAGCCGACUUGGGCCAGCUUCGCCUCAGUGAUCAAGCUAAGACCAGGUCUGAUUAAGAGGACCACAGACGGGUGUGGAGCUGUCCUUCUGGAAAUGCAGAUGGCAAGGCGGAGGGCUCCUCAAGACCCCUGGCCCUUGCAGUACAGAUAAAC